CAGGAAGGCAGUGAGGGAGUCCCCGGGCACAGACAUGGACACAAAAUGCCCAUCGGGGUCAUCCGCCGGCCUGAACUGAACCAGAGGAGCUGCUCCCUGCUGGUAAUUGAGAAGAAUGCAAGUUUAAGGUUUUCAGACCUGGAAGUGAGACUCUAACUGGCAGAGUCUUCUGCAUGGCCGUGAUGGGCUCGCUGGGUGUCAGUCCCUUCAAGGCAAACAGAACGAUUUGGUACUCUGUAUCUGCCGAGAGACCUCGGACCACCACCGA